rnacentral:rRNA from 1 species
CCUACGUGGGGCUGCAGUGGGGAAUAUUGGGCAAUGGGCGCAAGCCUGACCCAGCAACGCCGCGUGAAGGAAGAAGGCUUUCGGGUUGUAAACUUCUUUUGUCAGGGAAGAGUAGAAGACGAUACCUGACGAAUAAGCCACGGCUAACUACGUGCCAGCAGCCGCGGUAAUACGUAGGUGGCAAGCGUUGUCCGGAUUUACUGGGUGUAAAGGGCGUGUAGCCGGGUUGACAAGUCAGAUGUGAAAUCCUGCGGCUUAACCGCAGAAAUGCAUUUGAAACUGUUGAUCUUGAGUACUGGAGAGGAAGACGGAAUUCCUAGUGUAGCGGUGAAAUGCGUAGAUAUUAGGAGGAACACCAGUGGCGAAGGCGGUAUGCUGGACAGCAACUGACGGUGAGGCGCGAAAGCGUGGGGAGCAAACAGGAUUAGAUACCCCUGUAGUC